rnacentral:rRNA from 1 species
CUGGCGGCGUGCCUAACACAUGCAAGUCGAACGAGAAAGUGGAGCAAUCCAUGAGUAAAGUGGCGACCGGGUGAGUAACACGUGACUACCUACCCUCGAGUGGGGAAUAACUCCGGGAAACCGGGGCUAAUACCGCAUAACAUCGAGAGAUCAAAGCAGUAAUGCGCUUGAGGAGGGGGUCGCGGCUGAUUAGCUAGUUGGUAGGGUAAUGGCCUACCAAGGCAAAGAUCGGUAGCCGGCCUGAGAGAGCGCACGGCCACACUGGAACUGAAACACGGUCCAGACUCCUACGGGAGGCAGCAGUGGGGAAUUUUGCGCAAUGGGGGAAACCCUGACGCAGCAACGCCGCGUGGAGGAUGAAGUCCCUUGGGACGUAAACUCCUUUCGACCGGGACGAUUAUGACGGUACCGGUGGAAGAAGCCCCGGCUAACUUCGUGCCAGCAGCCGCGGUAAUACGAGGGGGGCAAGCGUUGUUCGGAAUUAUUGCGCGUAAAGGGCGCG